AACGCUAGCUACAGGCUUAACACAUGCAAGUCGAGGGGCAGCAUGACCUAGCAAUAGGUUGAUGGCGACCGGCGCACGGGUGAGUAACACGUAUCCAACCUACCGGUUAUUCCGGGAUAGCCUUUCGAAAGAAAGAUUAAUACCGGAUAGCAUAACGAGAAGGCAUCUUCUUGUUAUUAAAGAAUUUCGAUAACCGAUGGGGAUGCGUUCCAUUAGUUUGUUGGCGGGGUAACGGCCCACCAAGGCUACGAUCAGUAGGGGUUCUGAGAGGAAGGUCCCCCACAUUGGAACUGAGACACGGUCCAAACUCCUACGGGAGGCAGCAGUGAGGAAUAUUGGUCAAUGGACGAGAGUCUGAACCAGCCAAGUAGCGUGCAGGAUGACGGCCCUAUGGGUUGUAAACUGCUUUUAUAAGGGAAUAAAGUGAGUCUCGUGAGACUUUUUGCAUGUACCUUAUGAAUAAGGACCGGCUAAUUCCGUGCCAGCAGCCGCGGUAAUACGGAAGGUCCGGGCGUUAUCCGGAUUUAUUGGGUUUAAAGGGAGCGUAGGCCGGAGAUUAAGCGUGUUGUGAAAUGUAGAUGCUCAACAUCUGCACUGCAGCGCGAACUGGUUUCCUUGAGUACGCACAAAGUGGGCGGAAUUCGUGGUGUAGCGGUGAAAUGCUUAGAUAUCACGAAGAACUCCGAUUG
rnacentral:rRNA from 1 species